GCCGGAGUGGUGGAAUUGGUAGACGCGCCGGACUCAAAAUCCGGUGGGCUUAGGUCCGUGUGAGUUCGAGUCUCUCCUCCGGCACCA
rnacentral:tRNA from 1 species